UAACAAGGAUUCCCCUAGUAACUGCGAGUGAAGCGGGAAAAGCUCAAAUUUAAAAUCUGGCAGCCCUUUGGUUGUCCGAGUUGUAGUCUGGAGAAGUGCUUUCUGUGCUGGACCGUGUAUAAGUCUCUUGGAACAGAGCGUCAUAGAGGGUGAGAAUCCCGUCUUUGACACGGACUGCCAGUGCUUUGUGAUGUGCUCUCAAAGAGUCGAGUUGUUUGGGAAUGCAGCUCAAAAUGGGUGGUGAAUUCCAUCUAAAGCUAAAUAUUGGCGAGAGACCGAUAGUGAACAAGUACCGUGAGGGAAAGAUGAAAAGCACUUUGGAAAGAGAGUUAAACAGUACGUGAAAUUGCUGAAAGGGAAACACUUGAAGUCAGUCACAUUGUCUGGAACUCAACCUUGCCUAUUUUUGCUUGGUGUAUUUUCUAGAUUCAAUGGGCCAGCAUCAAUUUUGACUGCUAGAAAAGAGCUGGGGUAAUGUGGCACCUUUGGGUGUGUUAUAGACUCUGGUUGCAUACAGCAGUUGGGAUUGAGGAACGCAGCAUGCCGUAAGGCAGGGGUUUUACCCACUUUCAUGCUUAGGAUGCUGGCAUAAUGGCUUUAAAUGAC
rnacentral:rRNA from 1 species